UUUCGGGAUCUUGAGAGCGGCGUACGGGUGCGGAACACGUGUGCAACCUGCCUUUAUCUGGGGGAUAGCCUUUCGAAAGGAAGAUUAAUACCCCAUAACAUUUUGAAUGGCAUCAUUUAAAAUUGAAAACUCCGGUGGAUAGAGAUGGGCACGCGCAAGAUUAGAUAGUUGGUGAGGUAACGGCUCACCAAGUCUGCGAUCUUUAGGGGGCCUGAGAGGGUGAUCCCCCACACUGGUACUGAGACACGGACCAGACUCCUACGGGAGGCAGCAGUGAGGAAUAUUGGACAAUGGGUGAGAGCCUGAUCCAGCCAUCCCGCGUGAAGGACGACGGCCCUAUGGGUUGUAAACUUCUUUUGUAUAGGGAUAAACCUUUCCACGUGUGGGAAGCUGAAGGUACUAUACAAAUAAGCACCGGCUAACUCCGUGCCAGCAGCCGCGGUAAUACGGAGGGUGCAAGCGUUAUCCGG
rnacentral:rRNA from 1 species